GAGGUAUCAGCAAGUAGCAAGAUCCAAGUCUUUUGAUUUGUGAGCAGUUUAUCAAUUAUGAAACUGAUCAAACCAGUUUCUGAAUAUAAACACACCAUAACAUUUGAUGCUGCAAUAAUGUUCAUUAUGCAGUGUUGAGGGUAGAAGUAUUAGUCUCACUUCCUGCCAUUUUCCACACCACAAAAAGAAUACUAAACCAUUUGCAGUUUCAUUCAGAAUUGUGAAAACCCAAACUUAAUAC
rnacentral:misc_RNA from 1 species